rnacentral:rRNA from 1 species
GAGUAACGCGUGAGAAUCUGCCUUCAGGAUGGGGACAACAGUUGGAAACGACUGCUAAUACCCGAUAUGACGAAAGUUGAAAGAUUUAUCGCCUGGAGAUGAGCUCGCGUCAGAUUAGCUAGAUGGUGUGGUAACGGCGCACCAUGGCGACGAUCUGUAGCUGGUCUGAGAGGAUGAGCAGCCACACUGGGACUGAGACACGGCCCAGACUCCUACGGGAGGCAGCAGUGGGGAAUUUUCCGCAAUGGGCGCAAGCCUGACGGAGCAAUACCGCGUGAGGGAGGAAGGCUCUUGGGUCGUAAACCUCUUUUCUCAGGGAAGAACACAAUGACGGUACCUGAGGAAUCAGCAUCGGCUAACUCCGUGCCAGCAGCCGCGGUAAUACGGAGGAUGCAAGCGUUAUCCGGAAUGAUUGGGCGUAAAGCGUCCGUAGGUGGUUAUGUAAGUCUGUGGUUAAAGCGUGGGGCU